rnacentral:rRNA from 1 species
UACGGGGGGGGGCAAGCGUUGUUCGGAAUUACUGGGCGUAAAGGGCGCGUAGGCGGCCAACUAAGUCGGACGUGAAAUCCCCAGGCUCAACCUGGGAACUGCGUCCGAUACUGGAUGGCUCGAAUCCGGGAGAGGGAUGUGGAAUUCCAGGUGUAGCGGUGAAAUGCGUAGAUAUCUGGAGGAACACCGGUGGCGAAGGCGGGUCUCUGGGCCGAUACUGACGCUGAGGAGCGAAAGCGUGGGGAGCGAACAGG